rnacentral:rRNA from 1 species
AUUGAACGCUGGCGGAAUGCUUUACACAUGCAAGUCGAACGGCAGCACGGGGGCAACCCUGGUGGCGAGUGGCGAACGGGUGAGUAAUACAUCGGAACGUGCCCAUGUCGUGGGGGAUAACGUAGCGAAAGCUACGCUAAUACCGCAUACGAUCUACGGAUGAAAGCGGGGGACCGUAGGGCCUCGCGCGAUUGGAGCGGCCGAUGGCAGAUUAGGUAGUUGGUGGGGUAAAGGCUCACCAAGCCUGCGAUCUGUAGCUGGUCUGAGAGAACGACCAGCCACACUGGGACCGAGACACGGCCCGGACUCCUACGGGAGGCAGCAGUGGGGAAUUUUGGACAAUGGGCGCAAGCCUGAUCCAGCCAUUCCGCGUGCAGGAUGAAGGCCUUCGGGUUGUAAACUGCUUUUGUACGGAACGAAAAGACUCUCUCUAAUACAGGGGGUUCAUGACGGUACCGUAAGAAUAAGCACCGGCUAACUACGUGCCAGCCGCCGCCGUAA